rnacentral:rRNA from 1 species
GACGAACGCUGGCGGCGUGCUUAACACAUGCAAGUCGAACGGAAAGGCCCUGCUUUUGUGGGGUGCUCGAGUGGCGAACGGGUGAGUAACACGUGAGUAACCUGCCCUUGACUUUGGGAUAACUUCAGGAAACUGGGGCUAAUACCGGAUAGGAGCUCCUGCUGCAUGGUGGGGGUUGGAAAGUUUCGGCGGUUGGGGAUGGACUCGCGGCUUAUCAGCUUGUUGGUGGGGUAGUGGCUUACCAAGGCUAUGACGGGUAGCCGGCCUGAGAGGGUGACCGGCCACACUGGAACUGAGGCAGGGUCAAGACGCCUACGGGAGGCAGCAGUAGGGAAUCUUACGCAAUGGGCGGAAGCCUGACGGAGCAACGCCGCGUGAGUGAUGAAGGUCGUCGGAUCGUAAAACUCUGUUAGUAGGGAAGAACAAAUGUGUAAGUAACUAUGCACGUCUUGACGGUACCUAAUCAGAAAGCCACGGCUAACUACGUG